UACGUAGGGUGCAAGCGUUACUCGGAAUUACUGGGCGUAAAGCGUGCGCAGGCGGUUCUGUAAGACAGAUGUGAAAUCCCCGGGCUCAACCUGGGAACUGCAUUUGUGACUGUAGAGCUGGAGUGCGGCAGAGGGGGAUGGAAUUCCGCGUGUAGCAGUGAAAUGCGUAGAUAUGCGGAGGAACACCGAUGGCGAAGGCAAUCCCCUGGGCCUGCACUGACGCUCAUGCACGAAAGCGUGGGGAGCAAACAGG
rnacentral:rRNA from 1 species